CCUACGGGAGGCUGCAGUGGGGAAUAUUGGGCAAUGGAGGCAACUCUGACCCAGCAACGCCGCGUGAAUGAUGAAGGUCUUCGGAUUGUAAAGUUCUGUGAUGGGGGAUGAACACAAUGACGGUACCCACAGAGGAAGCACCGGCUAACUCCGUGCCAGCAGCCGCGGUAAUACGGAGGGUGCAAGCGUUGUCCGGAAUCAUUGGGCGUAAAGAGUUCGUAGGCGGCAUGUAAAGUCAGGUGUUAAAGGCGCAGGCUCAACCUGUGUAUGGCACUUGAUACUUGCAAGCUGGAAUGCGGUAGAGGUAAAGGGAAUUCCUGGUGUAGCGGUGAAAUGCUUAGAUAUCAGGAGGAACAUCGGUGGCGUAAGCGCUUUACUGGGCCGUAAUUGACGCUGAGGAACGAAAGCCAGGGUAGCAAAUGGGAUUAGAUACCCUUGUAGUC
rnacentral:rRNA from 1 species